rnacentral:sRNA from 1 species
AAGUACAGGGGGUAAAAGAAGAAGGUACUGUUUUUUAAAAAGUAAUCUUUUUGUACAUUUAUGUAAUUUGAAUCCACAGUUGUUCUUGACUCCUCUUAUCUUCAUAGACUAAAAUCUUAUCGUGUAAGGUUGCUGUUUCAAAAAAAACACUGAGCUUCAGAAUGAAUUACCAGAUGAUUUAGUUUCUAUAUUUGCUUCAAGGCCAUUUUAAAACCACAUGCCUAUGGUUUUGUUUCUUUUUUUUUCCCCUGAAGCUCAUUUAUAGUCACCUAAUAUCAAUGUAGACAAUAUAUGUUAGCUAGAUUGUUAAUAAUUCCUACUACUUAUAAAAAUCUUGUAUUUUUAAGAUGCUUUGGCAAAAACAAAAACCUAAAAAAAAUUUCAGCUAAACUGUAUUUACUAAAUGCUAUUUGGUUUUGUUUUGUUUUUUUCUUUUUGUUUUUUUUUUUGAGACAGAGUCUCACUGUCUCCAUCACCCAGGCUGGAGUCCAGCUCCCUGCGGCCUGGACCUCCUGGGCUCAAGUGAUCCUCUCACCUCAUCCUUCUGAGUAGCUGGGAAUACAGGUGUAUGCCACCCCACCUGACUAGUUUUUUUAUUUUUUAUUUUUUGUAGAGACGGGGUCUCACUUUAUUGUCCAGGCUAGUCUUGAAUUCCUGGGCUCAAGUGAUCCUCCCACCUCGGCCUCCCAAAGUGCUGGGAUUACAGGCAUGAGCCACCACACCCAGCCACUACAUUCUAUUUGAAUCUGUUUAAUAUUACCCUUGAUUCAGUAAAUAUAGCAUGUCUCACUGGCCACUCAGCACACUGGAGUUUGUUUUAGGGUUCUUUUGGAGCAGGUCCUCUUUUGAAUAUCAUUGCUAAGAGAUUGUGACAUUUGUAGUUUUUAGGUGCUGAGAUUUAAGCCCAUCUCAUUUUUAAAAGAUAAUACAUUAGAUAAAUAGCAAUGUCGAUAAAUUAGAUUAUAAUUCUCUCCAAUCUAAAUUUUCUUCUUUCUUCAUCUGCAGAUAAGUGACUUUUCAAAUAGGGAAGAAAUGCUUUUGUAAAUAUUCAUCCAAUGCAAUCCUUACAACCUUCUGUCCACUGACCUGCCAAUAUAAGCAAGGACCAAUACCUUAACAUUUCUAGAAAUUGGUCUUGAAUAUGCAUCAUGAUAUUUGGAUUAAAUUUUAUCUAGUAAAUCUAAAUUUUAUUAUGUGUUAAGUAAAGUUCCUGUGUUUAUGUUUUUCAAAAUUUUGAUUGUACUACUGAGAAAGUGGUUAUUAAAAUAUUAAAGCUGCCUUCCAUUCUUAAUCUCUUCUGAUGAAGGAAAUUAAGAAAAGCAGCCCAUUUGGAAGUACAUAGGGAAGGAGAUGGUUCUAGUACCACAGAUAACACACAAGAGGGAGCAGUUCAGAACCACGGUACAAGCACCUCUCACAGCGUUGGCACUGUCUUCAGAGAUCUCUGGCAUGCUGCUUUCUUUUUAUCAGGAUCAAAGAAAGCAAAGAAUUCAAUUGAUAAAUCAACUGAAACUGACAAUGGCUAUGUAUCCCUUGAUGGGAAAAAGACUGUUAAAAGCAGUGAAGAUGGAAUACAAAACCAUGAACCUCAGUGUGAAACUAUUCGACCAGAAGAGACAGCCUGGAACACAGGAACACUGAGGAAUGGUCCUAGCAAAGAUACCCAGAGGACAAUAACAAAUGUCUCUGAUGAAGUCUCCAGUGAGGAAGGUCCUGAAACAGGAUACUCAUUACGUCGUCAUGUGGACAGGACUUCUGAAGGUGUUCUUCGGAAUAGAAAGUCACACCAUUAUAAGAAACAUUACCCUAAUGAGGACGCCCCUAAAUCGGGUACUAGUUGCAGCUCUCGCUGUUCAAGUUCCAGACAGGAUUCUGAGAGUGCAAGGCCAGAAUCUGAAACAGAAGAUGUGUUAUGGGAAGACUUGUUACAUUGUGCAGAAUGCCAUUCAUCUUGUACCAGUGAGACAGAUGUGGAAAAUCCUCAGAUUAAUCCGUGUGUGAAAAAAGAAUAUAGAGACGACCCUUUUCAUCAGGUGAACAGCCAUAUACCAGGAAUAGGAUACCAGAUUUUUGGAAAUGCAAUCUCUCUCAUACUGGGUUUAACUCCAUUUGUUUUCCGACUCUCUCAAGCUACAGACUUGGAACAACUCACAGCACAUUCUGCUUCAGAACUUUAUGUGAUUGCAUUUGGUUCUAAUGAAGAUGUCAUAGUUCUUUCUAUGGUUAUAAUAAGUUUUGUGGUUCGUGUGUCUCUUGUGUGGAUUUUCUUUUUUUUGCUCUGUGUAGCAGAAAGAACUUAUAAACAGGUGGGUAUAAUGUAGACCUCUGAAUAAGAAUAUUUUAUCGUUUUCAUAAUAUUAAAAGUAUUCCUGAAGUACUUUAUUAUUUCAUUAUAUCAUUUUUACCUAAUUAUUUUUUAUUUUGCUUUUGUAGUACCUAACCAAAUAAAAUCUUAACAAUUCA